GAUACACCCCAAAAUUAAAAAGCCUACAAAGAAAUUCCCAGUAAAUAAAGAAUUCUUUGACGAAAAGAAAUUUUCGAGCCACAAAAAAUGCACAAAGUUCAGCACUUUCGCUAGUUCCAAGUGUAUGCAGACCCUCACGAUAUCAAGGACGACGAUAAGAGUUUCUCUGUAAGGUCGAACAAGUCUUCGACCACGACUUCCGGUCAUCGCCUGCGAAGUCUGACGUUUACGGCUUCUUGCUGGCCGAGAUCUCGGUAGUGAUACGAUUCGCAAGUGGGUCGUCAUUGGAUCGAAUAAGGUAUCCUCCCAGGUGAGUAGCGCGCGAUGCGGUUAAAGUUUAUCUAGCAUCCUAACGCGUUAGUGUAAAUUAACCGUCCUGGAAAAAGGCAUCGCGAAAACUAUUGUUCAUCCGUCGUAAAUCAAUACUCGAUCCUCUCAGACCUUCCAGCGGCCUAUAUCGGCGCCGUUAACUGACAUUAUAACGAUGGCGAGCUCGCGUGCAGAUAAAAUCGCGACAAUUAGCAUACGUGAGGUCAGUCGAUAGAUUCAAUGAGAAAGAGGUACGACGGAACGUCACACCUGCAAUGUCUUGCACUCGUUGUGACGAACUGCACCAAAAAUGUUCGAAAGCCUGGCAAUCUAUUUGCCAACGAACCGUCAACCGUCCACGUGAACUAUCUUGUUGACUAACUCCAUCCCUGGGACAUAGAACUGGAUCUUUAAAGAAUUCAAGAUGAAACCAGACAUUUACUAUGCGAAGGAUCAUGUAAAGCACAUCGUAAAGAUUGUAAUAUUCAAGAACAUUCUUGUCAUAAAAUUGAUUCGAGUAAAACGAGCAAAGACAAAUAAUAAUAAUAAUACUGUAGGAGGUAUCGGCAUGCGUUUUGUUUAUCCGUCAUAAACUCUCCAAGGUACUACUCGAUACAUCUGCAAGAUAAGGCAAACGAUAGCGCUACGUUAUACAAAAUUCAUAAGUGUGAUUUAUUGCAUGUGCAGCGUAUUGCAUUCUCCCGUCGAUAUCUAUAAAUAUAUUACAGAAAAAUCUGACUCGUUUAUAUUGUUCCACCAAUUAUAUUUUCAUUAAUUACACGUUUCUAAAUCUUAUUCAUUCUUUUUAAUGAUAUUAAUUCAUUCUGAUUACUUGAUUUAUUAUUUAUUAAGUCUUUAAUUCUAGAUUUUUAUUCCAGUUAUUUUAUCUUCUUUUUCCAUAGGAGUGUUGUUUCCUUUUGUUCAAAGAUUUACGAAUUUAUAUUUUUGGACAGAGGCUUGCCAAGGUUGGGUCGAAAGUUAUACGAGCUAACGCAUAUAUGCUCUAAAUUGAGAACCGAAGAGGAUUAGGGUGUGUUUAAGGCGAGGCGGCUGGUUUUCAUUAAAUCGACUCCUUAAUGCUUGACACGAGCAGUUCCGAUGCUCUCAGGAAUCAAUGCAAUCAUUAUGAUCCAUCUUCGUACAAUUACCAGACCUCGGAGAUGGGUAUAAUUUUAUACGAAUAAUAAAUAACAAGUAACGCCAAUGCAUAGCAAUUUGUUCAUGUAUUCACUCGAACAAUUUCUUGAAGUAACUUCGUGCUAUAAAUCUCAAUAAGUAUUUCAUCGCUAUCUGCACUUGUCGAAUUCUAAUUUCAAGUUAUAUUGCGAAGCACCUUGAAUGCCAAUUAUUCUUGUACCAUUCCAUAUACGUGUCCUUAUGUUGUAAUUCAAAAUUCAAAACUUUUUUAAUAAUUAUUAUGUCCAUAAGAAAAUGAAUCUACAAAAGUAAAUUUCCAAUUACAGUAAUUGCUUUAAUGCUCAAGUAACUACAUUUAUUAAAUAUCUAGUUAUGCAUUGUGAAAUAUUUUAUUUUAUUGUUCAAAUUCAAAAUUUUACCGAACGUACUGGACGAAGCAACGUAUUUCUUUAAAGUUUUCUUUAUUAAUUAUUUAAAAUUUCCACUUAAAUACGAAUUUUUGUAACGUCUGAUAGAACGUACGUUUGAUCAAACUUGAAAUUUUUACAGAAAAACGUCCACCGCCGUCUCGUCCGCGCGUUUCAGGGCAAUGUGGUUCAUCGACAUUGAAGAACAAUUAGAUUUCCGCGAAAAAGACGUCCCUACUGGGACGAAGAUAAUUGCUGGUAAUGACCUGCGUGUACACGAUGAAGACGACUGGCUGGGUGAAAUGUAGAACGCAAUAUCACACACGCAAAGAAAUACAUUCUUAUCAAAAGCAUUCUUGUCUCGCAGAAAAACAGAGUUGACAGUGGAGUGCUCGCGAAAGGAGUGGUAAUGAUGAUGAUGAUCCUGUUAUACUAUUUCCGAGAAUGUCCAUACGUGGGCUUUGGUUCACACGCACGCGCACGCAUACAAAUCACUCAAGCUUUCAUAACAUAACGCAGCAAGUUGAUCUCAUUGAGGAUGUUGAUAAACGAAUUAAAUUACUCUCGUACAGAGAAUCGACGGAGGCGUACACUGUAACGUUUUGAAAUGCAAAUUGGCAAUUCGAUCAAUCCGUAACACAAAACGAUUCAUCCUGUAUGAUCAUUUUUAUAUCUGCUUGUGAUUAAACAGCAGACUGACUCACGAGAGAGAAAUAGGUGUUCUCUAAGAAUUUUUACAAGAAAAGUACAAGACCCAGACCUCUUGAAAUAUGGACCACGAAAAAUCGAUUUGUGGCUCUUAACGGUUUCUUUACUUCCUAUGGACGUUAUGCAAGAAUACGUUCUAGCUCGGCAUUGUCUGCAUAGCAGAAUAUACGGUCUAUGCACGCUUCCUUGUAAACCGUUAAAUUUGCAGCCAAUGAUUCUGCACGUUCGAUUGAACGCCAAGAGAGAAUGCUGCACAAAUAUGGGGGUAAAGACAGCAACUUGUCAAUGUAAUAGGAACGCAGUGAGAAGGCAGGAAAAGAUUGAUGCGUACGAAUCGUACGCGGAGAAUUGUUAAAUGAAAUGCAAUCGACUCGCGUUUGAUUUAGUCGCGUCAAUCAAGUUAAUUUAUUUAAGAUCUCAAUCACCUUUAUGUGGUUCUCUUCAAAAGACACAAACUGCGAUAUAAUUAAAUAAAAAUUACGUAAUUAUUUGAUAUAAUUACACCUUUGACAAGCUAUAUUAUAUAUUAUAUAGUCUAACUUAUCAAUACAACAAAUCUGUCGUACAUAUUUUUCUAUAUCAAUUUAGUUCUGUUUUUCAAUAUAUACUCUUCUCGAAAUAUUAGCUUAUACAUUAUUCAUAUAAUAAAGCUUGGCAUAGCAAUAAUUACGUAAAACACAUUUUUACAAACAAGCUAACAAAGUAAUUGAUUUUUGUUUACACUAAGAAAUAAAAUAAAGUAUUAUAAAUAUUGUUUGUUGCUUCAAAUAGUUGAGUUGUGAAUUAAAGUUAUAUUAUAAAUAAAUCUUUCGUUCCUAAGUAUA